UGGACCAGUGAUGACCACUGGUGGCGUAUGAGUCAUAGAUAAUGAAUACUGUGUUUCUGGAACGCUGAAGUCCAA